GGGGAUGGGGCUCAGUGGUCUAGUGCCCCUGAGUUCAAUCCCUGGUACCCCCCCCCCCAAAAAAAAAGAUUUUGAGAGCCCUGUUUGUGGGUUAAAAUUAUAUCUGUAGAUGCAGAGUCUUGUAAGGGCCCAUUUUCACUUUUAAAUCUGUAAUGUCUGAUUACAAUUAUGAAUUCCAUUGUAUCAUAUGUGGGAAUAUAAAGAUCUGACUUUUCCCAGCAGUCUUGGUUCACAUCCAAGUUGUUGUCACUAAGUUUACCUCAGGAAUUGCAAUCAUGUAGAUUAAGGAAAAAUGCUGGAGUUGAUGAUUUUGGAUACUGUUGAAAAACCAUCAUAAUGAAAGCUGACCAGAACUGUCACCGGUGUUGUAGCCUUCUGUGUGCAUUACUCUGUAACUCCUGUGCCUGGGCAACUUUUAUACUUUCAAUAUAUCAUUUAAUUAAAAAAAUUUUAAGCAACUCA
rnacentral:lncRNA from 1 species